CAAAUAUUUCAAAAUCAAAUUCUUCAUACCAUACUAGAUUUUAACAUUUACCUCAAUAAUAAUGGCAAAGAAACUCCAAAUCAGUUCCUCAUCGCAAAAUUUUGAAUUAUAAUUUCACAUACAUCUCAAAAUGUUGAAUAGAUAUAAAUAAGAUCUUUUAUUUUGACUUAAAGAUAGCAAUCAAGGAUUUCAUUAACAUCCUAAACCUCGAUGGCAGA
rnacentral:lncRNA from 1 species